rnacentral:tRNA from 1 species
GGCUCGGUAGCUUAGUUGGUAAAGCGCUCGUCUAGCAUACAAGAGUCUGAGUCA